rnacentral:pre_miRNA from 1 species
AAGUAGUGUGAUAUGCCCGUUGGUGUUAAACUCUGAUGUAUUAUUUAUUAUUUAAAUGUUUGGGAUAACGGGGUGUUACAAUUGG